UGCAAGUCGAGCGAAUGGAUUAAGAGCUUGCUCUUAUGAAGUUAGCGGCGGACGGGUGAGUAACACGUGGGUAACCUGCCCAUAAGACUGGGAUAACUCCGGGAAACCGGGGCUAAUACCGGAUAAUAUUUUGAACUGCAUGGUUCGAAAUUGAAAGGCGGCUUCGGCUGUCACUUAUGGAUGGACCCGCGUCGCAAUAACUUAUUUGUGAGAGGUAACGGCUCACCAGGGCAACUAUGCGUAGCCCAACUGAAAAGGGUGACCGCCCACUGGGAGAAGAAACACACGGCCCACACUCCCUACGGGAGGGCAGCAGUAGGGAAUCUUCCGCAAUGGACGAAAGUCUGACGGAGCAACGCCGCGUGAGUGAUGAAGGCUUUCGGGUCGUAAAACUCUGUUGUUAGGGAAGAACAAGUGCUAGUUGAAUAAGCUGGCACCUUGACGGUACCUAACCAGAAAGCCACGGCUAACUACGUGCCAGCAGCCGCGGUAAUACGUAGGUGGCAAGCGUUAUCCGGAAUUAUUGGGCGUAAAGCGCGCGCAGGUGGUUUCUUAAGUCUGAUGUGAAAGCCCACGGCUCAACCGUGGAGGGUCAUUGGAAACU
rnacentral:rRNA from 1 species